GUGCCUUAAACUAAUGAGUAAGGAAAACAAAGCAAGUGGUGGGAGCCGCUUGCAGCGCUGAACCAAAAAGGCGCAAGAAUUUAUGGAGGGGUUAUAGGCUGGCCAGGUGUGGACGCUGCUUACUUUGCAGGACCCACUUGUGCGGGCCUCCC